rnacentral:pre_miRNA from 1 species
UAACUACUCCCUCCGUUCGGAAUUACUUGUCUCGGAAAUGGAUGUAUCUAGAACUAAAAUACGUCUAGAUACAUCCAUUUCUGCGACAAGUAAUUCCAAACGGAGGGAGUAUCAA